ACAGCAGUCGCCGCGGUAAUACGGAGGGUGCAAGCGUUAAUCGGAAUUACUGGGCGUAAAGCGCACGCAGGCGGUCUGUCAAGUCAGAUGUGAAAUCCCCGGGCUUAACCUGGGAACUGCAUUUGAAACUGGCAGGCUAGAGUCUUGUAGAGGGGGGUAGAAUUCCAGGUGUAGCGGUGAAAUGCGUAGAGAUCUGGAGGAAUACCGGUGGCGAAGGCGGCCCCCUGGACAAAGACUGACGCUCAGGUGCGAAAGCGUGGGGAGCAAACAGGAUUAGAUACCCCUGUAGUCCCUGUCUCUUAUAC
rnacentral:rRNA from 1 species